UACUCCUACGGGAGGCAGCAGUGGGGAAUAUUGGACAAUGGGCGCAAGCCUGAUCCAGCCAUACCGCGUGGGUGAAGGAGGCCUUCGGGUUGUAAAGCCCUUUUGUUGGGAAAGAAAUCCAGCUGGUUAAUACCCGGUUGGGAUGACGGUACCCAAAGAAUAAGCACCGGCUAACUUCGUGCCAGCAGCCGCGGUAAUACGAAGGGUGCAAGCGUUACUCGGAAUUACUGGGCGUAAAGCGUGCGUAGGUGGUCGUUUAAGUCCGUUGUGAAAGCCCUGGGCUCAACCUGGGAACUGCAGUGGAUACUGGACGACUAGAGUGUGGUAGAGGGUAGCGGAAUUCCUGGUGUAGCAGUGAAAUGCGUAGAGAUCAGGAGGAACAUCCAUGGCGAAGGCAGCUACCUGGACCAACACUGACACUGAGGCACGAAAGCGUGGGGAGCAAACAGGAUUAGAUACCCUGGUAGUCCACGCCCUAAACGAUGCGAACUGGAUGUUGGGUGCAAUUUGGCACGCAGUAUCGAAGCUAACGCGUUAAGUUCGCCGCCUGGGGAGUACGGUCGCAAGACUGAAACUCAAAUGAAUUGACGGA
rnacentral:rRNA from 1 species